GAGCCCGCGUUCCAUUAGCUAGUUGGUAGGGUAAUGGCCUACCAAGGCAACGAUGAGUAGCUGGUCUGAGAGGAUGAUCAGCCACACUGGAACUGAAACACGGUCCAGACUCCUACGGGAGGCAGCAGUGGGGAAUAUUGCGCAAUGGGCGAAAGCCUGACGCAGCAACGCCGUGUGAGGGAUGAAGGCUUUCGGGUCGUAAACCUCUGUCGGAAGGGAAGAACGGGCAAGGGUCCAAUAGGCCCUUGUUUUGACGGUACCUUUAGAGGAAGCACCGGCUAACUCCGUGCCAGCAGCCGCGGUAAUACGGAGGGUGCAAGCGUUAUUCGGAAUUACUGGGCGUAAAGCGCACGUAGGCCGCUUUGUAAGUCAGGGGUGAAAUCCCACGGCUCAACCGUGGAACUGCCCUUGAAACUGCAGAGCUUGAAUCCUGGAGAGGGUGGCGGAAUUCCUGGUGUAGGAGUGAAAUCCGUAGAUAUCAGGAGGAACACCGGUGGCGAAGGCGGCCACCUGGACAGGUAUUGACGCUGAGGUGCGAAAGUGUGGGGAGCAAACAGGAUUAGAUACCCUGGUAGUCCACACCGUAAACGAUGAACACUAGAUGUCGGAG
rnacentral:rRNA from 1 species